GCAUCAAUUAAAUCUCAAAUAAUAAUCUUAUAAAAUAUAAUAAUAAAUCUUUAUCUGAACUUGACUCAUACUAUCGACUCUCAUCUUUAAACUUAUCCCAAAAUAGUACUCACAUCCAUAAUUAAGAAUCUAAAUAUGAAAAGAAAGGAGCAGUAAUGAACUCGAUAGUCCAAUAAGUAAUGAAUAUCUCAACUAAAUAUUGAGAUAUUAUGAUAAA
rnacentral:lncRNA from 1 species